UCGGGAAUAUUGCGCAAUGGACGAAAGUCUGACGCAGCAACGCCGCGUGAAGGAUUAAGGCCCUCGGGUCGUAAACUUCAAUAGUUUAGGAUGAAAUCUUGACAGUACUAAACGAAAGCACCGGCUAACUACGUGCCAGCAGCCGCGGUAAUACGUAGGGUGCAAGCGUUAUCCGGAUUUAUUGGGCGUAAAGAGCGCGUAGGUUGUAUUUUAAGUCUUUGUUAAAAGGCUGCCGCCCAACGGCAGUUUCGACAAAGAAACUAUUUUACUAGAAAAAAUCAGAGGCAAGCGGAACUCGCGGUGGAGGAGUAAAAUCCGUUGAUCUCGCGAGGAACACCAAUGGCGAAGGCAGCUUGCUGGGAUUUUUUGACACUGAGGCGCGAAAGCGUGGGUAGCGAACGGG
rnacentral:rRNA from 1 species